rnacentral:rRNA from 1 species
GCUGAACGCUGGCGGCGUGCCUAAUACAUGCAAGUCGAGCGAAGCGGGGACGGGUGAGUAACACGUGGAUAACCUCCUUUAAGACUGGAAUAACUUGGGGACACCGGAUCUAACCCGGAUCCUUAUGUAUGGAUCCGUGCUGCAUUGGCUAGUUGGUACGGUAACGGCUUACCAAGGCAACGAUGCAUAGCCGACCUGAGAGGGUGUUCGGCCACACUGGAACUGAGACACGGUCCAGACUCCUACGGGAGGCAGCAUUAGGGAAUCUGCCGCAAUGGGCGAAGGCCUGACGGAGCAACGCCGCGUGAGUGAUGAAGGUCUUCGGAUCGUAAAACUCUGUUAUUAGGGAAGCGGUACCUAAUCAGAAAGCCACGGCUAACUACGUGCCAGCAGCCGCGGUAAUAC